CAGGCCUAACACAUGCAAGUCGAGCGGUAACACAGGGAGCUUGCUCUUGGGUGACGAGCGGCGGACGGGUGAGUAAUGUCUGGGAAACUGCCUGAUGGAGGGGGAUAACUACUGGAAACGGUAGCUAAUACCGCAUAACGUCGCAAGACCAAAGAGGGGGACCUUCGGGCCUCUUGCCAUCAGAUGUGCCCAGAUGGGAUUAGCUAGUAGGUGGGGUAAUGGCUCACCUAGGCGACGAUCCCUAGCUGGUCUGAGAGGAUGACCAGCCACACUGGAACUGAGACACGGUCCAGACUCCUACGGGAGGCAGCAGUGGGGAAUAUUGCACAAUGGGCGCAAGCCUGAUGCAGCCAUGCCGCGUGUAUGAAGAAGGCCUUCGGGUUGUAAAGUACUUUCAGCGAGGAGGAAGGCAUUAAGGUUAAUAACCUUAGUGAUUGACGUUACUCGCAGAAGAAGCACCGGCUAACUCCGUGCCAGCAGCCGCGGUAAU
rnacentral:rRNA from 1 species